GAACUUGCUCAACACUACAGAUGGUCACAGUCUCAGCCUGCGGUCUUCAUUUCUCUGCUCUCAUUGUUCCAGCUGUUCCUUUCUAGGAGUGCAGCAUAUCUCAGAAGUAAGUGCUAUAGAGACCUGUUUUACCAUCUGCAAUACAUAAAGGUUUAUUUAUGUCGUGCUCGUAAGUGUGUUGUUUUACUAAGCAUCUCCCUUGUAAAUUUUACACUCCUCUGGGAGAAGUAGUUUCCUUGUCUGUAGUUAAUGUACUGUACACAGUAACCUCCCAUCCACGGAAGCAGAUCACACUAAUGAGUGAUCAUCGUGGUGCAGGUAGAUCAUUCAGAUAAAUGCAACACAGAACUGAAACUGUCGGAAAUGCUUGAAUUCUCUCCAUAAUGUGUGUGAUUCACUGUCCUGUUGUUCAUUUCCCUGAGGAUAAACAAUGUUAAAUACCCUCCUUGUAUGUAUUUUGAACCGGGAGAAUGUCCCUAAACUAUCCGUUAUGGCUUGAAUUUUGUCUUUCAAAAUUCCUCUGUGAAAUCCUACAUUCAAGUAUUCAUGUAUGACCUUACUUUGAAAUAAGGUCUUUGCAGAUAUAAUUAUUUAAGCUAGAAUGAGGUCCUACUCAAGUAACAUAAGCCCCUAAUUAAGAACGACUGACAUCCUUAUGAAAACGUGGGGACAUUUGUAUAAAGUGAGGCACACGGGGUGCAGGCCAAGGAAACAGACUUAAAGCAAGGAUGGCCGUCCACAAACCAGCGGUAGGAACCUGGAACACUUCCUUCCCUGACCGUCCUUGGAGGAAUUCACUCUACAGACAUCUGAUUUCAGACUUCUAGAUUCCAGAACCCUGAGACAACAAACUUCUGUUGUUGUAAGCUACCCAACUUGUGGCACUUUGUAAAAAUCACCCUAACAGUCAUGAAUCAUCAGUACAAGAAGCAUCUGGCUCUUCACUACUCUGUCUAUGGUCACUAAUCCUAUUGAUGUACUGUUAUCUGCUUCUUCUCAGGGUUGCACCAUGGUGUCUGAUAUUCAUUUGAAUUUGCAAGGACAAAAUCAACAGAGCUGCUGGUUAAGUAUGUCAAUACUAUCUAUUUGUGAUGGUUUCUGGUUCUGUCCUUGGGAACAUAUUGUGAGCCAGCAAGGACAAUUAAUAACAGGCACCUGCUACUCAAGUUUACUGUGCAAGAAUUUCAGAAUGAUUUUAAUCUUCCUCGUGGUGGUAGUACUCUUUUUAUCAAAUAGAAAAUGUACCCAGGCAAAUCAUUAA
rnacentral:lncRNA from 1 species